GAUGAACGCUGGCGGCGUGCUUAACACAUGCAAGUCGACCGGAAAGGCUCCUGCUUGCAGGGGUACUCGAGUGGCGAACGGGUGAGUAACACGUGGGUGAUCUGCCCUGCACUUCGGGAUAAGCCUGGGAAACUGGGUCUAAUACCGGAUAGGACCACAUUUUGGAUGGUGUGGUGGAAAGUUUUUCGGUGUGGGAUGAGCUCGCGGCCUAUCAGCUUGUUGGUGGGGUAAUGGCCUACCAAGGCGUCGACGGGUAGCCGGCCUGAGAGGGUGUACGGCCACAGUGGGACUGAGAUACGGCCCAGACUCCUACGGGAGGCAGGAGUGGGGAAUAUUGCACAAUGGGCGCAAGCCUGAUGCAGCGACGCCGCGUGGGGGAUGACGGCCUUCGGGUUGUAAACUCCUUUCGCUAGGGACGAAGCGUUUUUGUGACGGUACCUGGAGAAGAAGCACCGGCUAACUACGUG
rnacentral:rRNA from 1 species